UGACUUUGGAGUUAUUUAGACUAAGCUCCCAACCACGGCAACCGGAGAACCAUUCACGAGUCUCUAAAUAAAGAACAGAAAAACUUGCAUAAAAACAAGAGUGAAGAAGAACAAGAGUGAAAUGAUAAAGAGUUGAAGAAUAUUUAGAGAGAUGUUGGAGAAAUUUUAGAUAGAGAAUGGAUUGUGGAAAUGAGAGUUGUGAAGUGAAUGAAAAUAUAUAUAGAUGGGGAAGCUAACGUCGAAAGCUGUGUCUUGGAGCUUAUUGGCG
rnacentral:lncRNA from 1 species